GGCUGAACAUACGCUUUCUCUUUCUGUUUCAGCCGCCAGGGACUUGUUCGUGAUAAAAAUAUUCAUAGAUUGGUCCCUGAUCUUCUACACCUCAUAACUUCGCGACCGUAACUCCGAUUGAGCCCCCUUCGAGAGAGUAGACGUGCAGCGUUUCGUUCCGCGACUUCAUCGCACUUUUUCCCGGAGUCUUCAUCACCCCAGGCAAGCCACAACAGCCACUUGAAUGAUAGCCAUGCAGUAGCCAUGGUUUCCACUUGAAUAUUUAAUAAAAGUUUGCCCGUUAUCUGUCUGCUUGUUUGCUACUACUGUCGUUGUUUCGGUUAUGCUCGUGGUUUCGUGUUCACCUUCAUGCUAUGUUCCGAUGCUUCUUGUUAUCUUGUACUACUUGCUAGUAUCAUGUUCAUAUGUCUUUCUUGGUAGCAGUAGUACAUUCUAGUAGUAGUGAUGUUCAGUCUGAUGCAUGUUUACCGUCUGAUAUCCGGUAUCGUUGUUAUGCAUGUUCUAUUGCAGCUAGUUGGUUACAUGCUUACUUGGUACUCCCUCCGUUCCUAAAUAUUUGUCUUUCUAGAGAUUUCAAAUGGUCACCACAUACGGAUGUAUAUAGACAUAUUUUAGAGUGUAGAUUCACUCAUUUUGUUCCGUAUGUAGUCACCAUUUGAAACCUCUAGAAAGACAAAUAUUUAGGAACGGAGGGAGUAGUACUCUUGUUAUGUUCUUGCAUGGUAUUUAUUUAUGAAGAUAGUAGUCAUGCUAUGCUCAUGGGUAAUGUUAUGCUCAUGAGUAUGCCAUGCUCAUUCGGAUAUAUGAUCCAUUGUGGCUAUGCUCGAUGAUUAUGUUGCACCUCCAUGCUUAUGUUGAUAUCAUGCUCAUGCAUUGUAGUUGCAUCAUGUUAUUUUAAUAUGACUCAGCUUAUUGCAUUCAAGUUUAACCGGAUAAUAAUGAACUUGAACAAAUGUUGGAUGAGUCAUGGUGCCACCAAAUCGAGCUGACCAGUGCAACCACAUUUGCCUUUUAUGGGAAGGUCUUAACUAGGUCUAUUGUCAUGUCUCUCGCUAGUGCCUCCAACGAGGGAAGGUUAUGGGCGUGCGCUACCUUGAUCAGGUAGGCGGACAUAAGCCUUGUGUACCCGAGUUGUCUGCGCGCUUUUGUCCCCGUUUGGGACCGUUUAUGUUUUGCCACGACGGUGGCCGUUGGAUGUCUUUGGUAGACAUCGGGGCCACCCAUGACUUAGCCCAAGAGGGGAGUAGGUCGGAGUGGCCGGGAGAGUGUCAUGGCAGUAGAUCGGUUUUGUCGGAACGCCGUUGGUCCACACGUAUGCGAGUGCGAGGCCAUGGGUUCUGUGGUGUGGGUACAGUGUGCUAAGCUCUAUAGAGUGUGUGUUAAAUCUAUCGAUAGCCGCGCCCAUGGAUAUGGGCCCAGUUCGUAGUCGGUCACACUAUGAGCCAACAAUAAUAAUAACUUGCUUAAUAAUAACCCCGGUUCGAUGAUGAGAAAGAGAUUGGUUGUGAUCGAGAGAGGAUCACGAAGGUAUCAUGGAUGCCAAAGUUGGUUGAUCUUUAUGUGAUCGCGAGAUGAUCACGGUGGUAUCAUGGAUACCGAAGUUGGUAAGUUGAUGUAUGAGAUGGUUACGAGGUAACUGCCGAGCAAGAAUAAGUUGGUGCAUGAUCAUGUUAACCUGUUGCAUGUAGUAUCAUCAUGUUCAUAUGUUCAUGCUAUGCUUGUUCUAGUCGUAUCAUGUUCAGUUUGUGCAGGCCAUGUUGUUUUGUUAGUGUCAUGCUCAUGAUUGCUUUAACCUGCUAAUGCCAUGUUGUUGUUGUUGUUGUUGUUGUCUUGACUGCUUUUGGUUAUUGUGAGCUUGCAAGUACAUUCAAUGUACUGACCUGGCGUGUCAUGCCAGUUUGCAGGUCGUGCCUUGUUUGCUUGCUUGUUUGGUGUGGUUCCUGCGUUCGCGAGCUAGGAUAAACGUUCCAGCCAGAGUCCCUGCGGAUUGGAGUCCAUCAUCGUCGUUUGUUGUUCCGCUGCCGGUAGAGGUUCCGCUGCCUCGAGUUGUUAUGCUGCUUGCAUAGAGCAACUGUGGUUGGCGUAGCGUUGCCUGCCAUUGUUAUUUAUUGUAAUCCGAAGACCUUGUAUUCAUAUUCGUGUUGUAAUAGAGAGCUAGUUUGUUCUAUUCUAAGUAGUGCCAUCUUCUAGAAGA